rnacentral:rRNA from 1 species
UACAGAGGGUGCAAGCGUUGUUCGGAAUUAUUGGGCGUAAAGCGCGUGUAGGCGGCUUUGCAAGUCGGGUGUGAAAGCCCUCGGCUCAACCGAGGAAGUGCGCCCGAAACUGCAGAGCUUGAGUACCGGAGAGGAUGGCGGAAUUCCCCAAGUAGAGGUGAAAUUCGUAGAUAUGGGGAGGAACACCGGUGGCGAAGGCGGCCAUCUGGACGGAUACUGACGCUGAGACGCGAAAGCGUGGGGAGCAAGCAGG